rnacentral:sRNA from 14 species
UUUCGAUAUCUCCAUAUUCAUGAAAGGGAGUAUUGGUAGAAU